AUCGAUGAAGAACGCAGCGAAAUGCGAUAAGUAAUGUGAAUUGCAGAAUUCAGUGAAUCAUCGAAUCUUUGAACGCACCUUGCGCCCUUUGGCUAUUCCGAAGGGCAUGCCUGUUUGAGUAUCAUGAACACCUCAACUCUCAUGGUUCGCCAUGAUGAGCUUGGACUUUGGGGGUCUUGCUGGCGUAACUGCCAGCUCCUCUCAAAUGAAUCAGCUUCCCAGUGUUUGGUGGCGUCACAGGUGUGAUAACUAUCUACGCUUGUGGUCUUCCAUCAGGUUACCUUCAGUAAUGGAGGUUCACUGGAGCUCACAGACGUCUCUCCUCAGGGAGGACAAGCUUCUUAACGUUUGAUCUCAAAUCAGGUAGGACUACCCGCUGAACUUAAGCAUAUCAAUAAGCGGAGGAAAAGAAACUAACAAGGAUUCCCCUAGUAACUGCGAGUGAAGCGGGAAGAGCUCAAAUUUAAAAUCUGGCGUGCCUCUGGUCGUCCGAGUUGUAGUCUGGAGAAGCGUUUUCCGUGUUGGACCGUGUACAAGUCUCUUGGAACAGGGCGUCAUAGAGGGUGAGAAUCCCGUCUUUGACACGGACUACCAAUGCUUUGUGAUGCGCUCUCAAAGAGUCGAGUUGUUUGGGAAUGCAGCUCAAAAUGGGUGGUAAAUUCCAUCUAAAGCUAAAUAUAGGCGAGAGACCGAUAGCGAACAAGUACCGUGAGGGAAAGAUGAAAAGCACUUUGGAAAGAGAGUUAAACAGUACGUGAAAUUGCUGAAAGGGAAACGCUUGAAGUCAGUCACGUCUGCCAGGACUCAGCCUUGCUUCUGCUUGGUGUACUUUCUGGUUUGACGGGCCAACAUCAAUUUUGACCGUUGGAGAAAGGCUUUGGGAAUGUGGCACCCUCGGGUGUGUUAUAGCCCUUUGUCGUAUACAACGGUUGGGAUUGAGGACCGCAGCACGCCUUCAUGGCCGGGGUUCGCCCACGUACGUGCUUAGGAUGUUGGCAUAAUGGCUUUAAGCGACCCGUCUUGAAACACGG
rnacentral:rRNA from 1 species